rnacentral:rRNA from 1 species
UUGACCUCGGAUCAGGUAGGGAUACCCGCUGAACUUAAGCAUAUCAAUAAGCGGAGGAAAAGAAACCAACAGGGAUUGCCCCAGUAACGGCGAGUGAAGCGGCAAGAGCUCAAAUUUGAAAUCUGGCCUCCCUUGGGGGGUCCGAGUUGUAAUUUGUAGAGGAUGCUUCGGGUGUGGCCGCCGUCUAAGUUCCUUGGAACAGGACGUCGUAGAGGGUGAGAAUCCCGUCUUGGGCGGCCGGUCCGCGCCCGUGUGAAGCUCCUUCGACGAGUCGAGUUGUUUGGGAAUGCAGCUCUAAGCGGGUGGUAAAUUUCAUCUAAAGCUAAAUACUGGCCGGAGACCGAUAGCGAACAAG